rnacentral:SRP_RNA from 1 species
GCUGGGCGUGGUGGCGCACGCCUGUAGUCCCAGCACUUGGGAGGCAGAGGCAGGGGGAUCUCUGAGUUCAAGGCCAGCCUGGUCUACAUAGUGAGUUCCAGGACAGCUGGGGCUACAGGGAGACCCUGCUUCAAAAAAAGAGAACUAUUACUAUAUUAGAGAUAAAUUUUUUUGGUUGUUUGAAAUAGGGUCUCACUGUAUAGCUUGGGCUGGCCUGGAACUCACUGUGUAGUCCAGGCUGGUCUCAAACACAGAGAUCCACCUGCCUCU